rnacentral:lncRNA from 1 species
UAGAGUGGGGCGCUCAUAUUCGCCGUGGACACAAUUUCGCCGUUUUAUGAUUUUGAGGUGUAAAAACUUCAAAGGAUGGUUGAAAUUGAAGAAAUUAUAUGCCGGUAAAUUAUACUUUUAUAACAAAUAUGAUAAUUUUUGAAAAUGAGACCAAAUUUCGGCAUUUACCGCAAAGGACCGAAAAAGGACAACGAUUUUCAGCCAAUUUCCUGAAGAAAAAAACGAUUUCAAAGAAGUAUUUCUUUAGUAAUUCUUUGACUGAUUGCCCUAAAUUUCAGUUUUUUUACCCUUUUCAAAUGUCUGCUAUUCAUCUAUAAUGAAAUUUAUUUGAUACAUCUA